rnacentral:rRNA from 1 species
UACGGAGGGUGCAAGCGUUAUCCGGAUUCACUGGGUUUAAAGGGUGCGUAGGCGGGCAGGUAAGUCAGUGGUGAAAUCUCCGAGCUUAACUCGGAAACUGCCAUUGAUACUAUUUGUCUUGAAUAUUGUGGAGGUAAGCGGAAUAUGUCAUGUAGCGGUGAAAUGCUUAGAUAUGACAUAGAACACCAAUUGCGAAGGCAGCUCACUACACAAUCAUUGACGCUGAGGCACGAAAGCGUGGGGAUCAAACAGG